GCCCUAGGAGUUCGCGGCAGAUUAGUUAGUUGGCGGGGUAAUGGCCCACCAAGACGAUGAUCUCUAUCCGGCCUGAGAGGGCGCACGGACACACUGGAACUGAAACACGGUCCAGACUCCUACGGGAGGCAGCAGUGGGGAAUUUUGCGCAAUGGGGGAAACCCUGACGCAGCAACGCCGCGUGGAGGAUGAAAUCCCUUGGGAUGUAAACUCCUUUCGAUAGGGAAGAUAAUGACGGUACCUAUAGAAGAAGCCCCGGCUAACUUCGUGCCAGCAGCCGCGGUAAUACGAGGGGGGCAAGCGUUGUUCGGAUUUAUUGGGCGUAAAGGGUGCGUAGGCGGUUUGGCAAGUCUUGUGUGAAAUCUUUGGGCUCAACCCAAAGUCUGCACAAGAAACUGCCGGGCUUGAGUAUGGGAGAGGUGAGUGGAAUUUCCGGUGUAGCGGUGAAAUGCGUAGAUAUCGGAAGGAACACCUGUGGCGAAAGCGGCUCACUGGACCAUUACUGACGCUGAGGCACGAAAGCUAGGGGAGCAAACAGGAUUAGAUACCCUGGUAGUCCUAGCCCUAAACGAUGAUUGUUUGAUGUGGCAGGUACCCAAUCCUGCCGUGUCGAAGCUAACGCGAUAAACAAUCCGCCUGGGGAGUACGGUCGCAAGGCUGAAACUCAAAGGAAUUGACGGGGGCCCGCACAAGCGGUGGAGCAUGUGGUUUAAUUCGACGCAACGCGAAGAACCUUACCUGGGCUCGAAAUGUAGUGGAAUCCGGCAGAAACGUCGGCGUCUAGCAAUAGACCGCUAUAUAGGUGCUGCAUGGCUGUCGUCAGCUCGUGUCGUGAGAUGUUGGGUUAAGUCCCGCAACGAGCGCAACCCUUAUCUACAGUUGCUACCAUUUAGUUGAGCACUCUGUCGAAACCGCCUCGGAUAACGGGGAGGAAGGUGGGGAUGACGUCAAGUCCUCAUGGCCUUUAUGUCCAGGGCUACACACGUGCUACAAUGGCCGGUACAAACCGCUGCAACCCCGCGAGGGUGAGCUAAUCGGAAAAAGCCGGCCUCAGUUCGGAUUGGAGUCUGCAACUCGACUCCAUGAAGCUGGAAUCGCUAGUAAUCGUGGAUCAGCAUGCCACGGUGAAUACGUUCCCGGGCCUUGUACACACCGCCCGUCACAUCACGAAAGUGGGUUGCACUAGAAGUCGGUACGCUAACCGCAAGGGAGCAGCCGCCCAAGGUGUGAUUCAUGAUUGGGGUGAAGUCGUAACAAGGUAGCCGUAG
rnacentral:rRNA from 1 species